UGGGUCUGCUUUCAGCUUCAGAUGUGUCCGUGUGGUGGGGGGAGCUGACUGCUGUCAGGGUACAGUGAAGCGAGAUAAUGACUACUGACUGUUCUGCCUCACUCAGGACCACUGGAGCUGCAGUUGUUGGCUGCACGGGAAAUUGCUCACGAAGCUGUGUACUCAACUUCUCCGGCAUGCAAAGUCUUCAGUGUAAUUAAAUGCAUUUGGUCAUAA